AGAGAAUGUUAGGUACUGAUGCACCAUAG
rnacentral:piRNA from 1 species